GGUGGCUCAUGUCCAAGGCCAGCAUCACUCCUCUCUAUGCCAGGGACACUGCAAGAGACCUGGCAGGCACAUCCCAGGGGUGCUCAUCCCCUCUUCCUUUCUUCCUCUCAGCUCAAGCCCUUGUCCUUGCUGGUGAGUCUCUUUGCUUGCAGAUUUAUGGUGACAGCCCUUGGGACCCUGGGCAGUUCUUGCUGAACAAGGCGACAGGCCCUGGUGUCCCCUCAAGGAGCAGCAGGGCAUGGUGUGGCUCUGCUGUCCCUCCACAUGGCACGUGGCUCAAAAGAUGUCAGGCAGCCCUGGGAAUCAGCCCUGCCGCCCCUCUGAAAGAUUAGACAGUGCCGCAAAAUCUCACCAGUGCCCUAGAAACCCCAGCAAGCAUUGGGGUUCUGCCUUCUUCCCCCAUCCCAGCCUACGUGCUCAGGGUUUGGGGCUCCCAACCAUGUGUGCUGUUGCACUGAUCUCUGCUCUGUCCUGCUCCUCUCUCCUGCCUGGACCUUCAUGGCUGCAGAGACAGCCCUGCUAACCCCAGACCAACCCUGGAGCAUGACACUUCCAGGAGACAGCAUGACCCUUAGGUGCUGUGGCUCCCACUUGCUGCGGCAGCACCCCACAGCUUGGUACGAUGGCAAGCUCUUGGCACCCACAGACAUGGACAGCUAAAGGAUCAGAAAUGCCAGGCAAAAACAAACAGGCAGAAUGAGUGCCAGAGCCCUGGCUCUACACACAGCAACAACAUCACCCUGACUGUCUCCUAUAGUGCAUGACAUGACCCUGGGAUGAGCCCUGCUGUCCCCCUGUCUGAGGACCCCUAGGCUUUGCUGUGGACCUACUUGUCCUGCCCUGGGACAAAUGCAGCUCCUGUGGGGUUAACAAAGGCAAUGCUAUUGGGUUUGGGGUGCUGCAAGCUGGGCUGUGGGGGCUUUUUGCCUCCCCUGCUCUGCAAAAUGCAUCCCUCUUUUCAUGGCCCUUUUCAGCUGCUGUUUUCGAGGUCGCUUUCAGACUGGCUGAUCCUCCAGGUCCAGUCGUACAUGUUGUGCAAGGGGGAGCUGCUGCCCAUGCAGUGCUGGGGAUGGGGGGAGCGCAUCUUUGGUGCGACAUUACAGAGAUGAAGCUGGCAUCACCGUGCGGUAUGCCUCUGCAGAGCAACAUUCCAUCUCCCGACCUGAGACCCACCACAGUGGCAGGUAUUGCUGCUCCAUUUCAUCGCUAACUAAGAGGCAGUCUUGGGUUUUAUACAUUUCCAGUGAAGGCAAGAAAUUCCUGUGUCUUUGGGCCCUCCAUCUUCGCAGGGUUUCAUCCAGUGGGAGCUGCAGGACAGAGAGGGUGAGGGGGUCUCUACAAUGUCUGAGCUGGGUCUGUGCUACCAAUGUCGGUGCAGGAAAUCCAGCACCUGCCUACCUCUGGAAAAAGACCUGCCCGGUCACAACCCCUAGCUCGGCUCUAGGACAUUCCUGUACCCAUCUCAGGGUCCCAGCCCUGCACAGCCUUGGUAGGGUGGGAUGAUUGUCCCUUCCCUCCUGCAUCUUUAGAGGUGAUGAACCCCCAGAAGGUCCAUCCGACAAGAUGUGCCCCAUCUCCCCCCUCCCCCCCCCCAGUCUGUCUCUCCCCACCUGUGUCUGUCUCCCCAUCCUAUCCCCCUCCAUAUGUCCCUCGGCCCCCCCUCCAUGUGUCUCUCCCCCAAAUGCUUUCUACUGAAACAUGCCCCACGCGAGGUUUUUCCCUGACACACAUUUUUUCCCAUGUGAGUUUUCCCCAUGCAAGUUUUCCCCCAUGUGACACCCCUCCCACAUCCCCUGCCCUCCUAUUUCAUGUCCCUACUCCUCCCUCCACCCCCCGCUAUUCCACACUGAGGUGCACAGAAAGUUGGGAGGGCACAGAACGGGGACAGCUGACCCCAACUGACCAAAGAGAUAUUCCAUACCAUAUGACAUCAUGCUCUGUAUAUAAAGGGCUGGAGGGAAGGAGGAAGAAGGGGGAGAUGUUCAGAGUGAUGGCAUUUGUCUUCCCAAGUCACCGUUACGUGUGAUGGAGCCCUGCUUUCCUGAAGAUGGCUGAACACCUGCCUGCUAGUGGAAAGUGGUGAACGAAUUCCUUGUCUUGCUUUGCUUGCGUGUGUGGCUUUUGCUUUACCUAUUAAACUGUCUUUAUCUCAACCCAUGAGUUUUCUCAAUUUUACUCUUCUGAUUCUCUCCCCCAUCCCACUGUGGGGGGACUGAGCAAGCAGCUGCAUGGUGUGUAGUUGCUGGCUGGGGUUAAACCACGACAGCUCUGUAAGCAGCAGUACUCGUGCUGUGCAAGUAUUCCUGUCUCCCAACCUCUGGGAAGUAAUUCUGCCAAAUAUAAAGAGUGAAACAGGCAGGGCAUAAUCUACAGCAAUUCUGCCACUCAAGGGACCUGGCAGGCCCCUUUCUCUCGCCUCUUACUCUGUCCAGCUAGGCUGGAAAAUAUGGUUGUUGCAGAAACUGCUACACCCUGCGACAACUCCUCGGGUUGUGACUCCUUCUUUUUGCCCUGUGUACAGGCUGCUGAGGUCAUUGACUGAACAGGAUUGGAGAGCUUCACACCAAGUCAUUCCUUUCUCCUUUGGGCAGCCACUUCCUCUUUUUUUCUUGCAGUUUUGAUGACAAAACAAUUGGGUUCAAGUUGCAAAAGCCUUUUGAUAUCAAAGCAAGAUGACAGCUAGAUUUCUACCAGCCCUGUAUUUCACUGUGUUAUGAGCUGAAAAUGGCUUGAGGCCAGGAGAUAUUUAGAGGGGUAUGAAUGAAAGAAACUGAGUGUUGAAGUGUUUGUUUUAAGGAGGCGAAUUAGGCAGCCAAAGGAACUGAGCUGCUCACCCAAUGCAUUAGCAGAACGGCCCAUCCAGUCAACCAAGUGUUGCGUGUUGCAAGCAGCAAAGUGCAAUUGCGACGCUCACUGGCAGGAGCGGCAAGGACUACAGAGCUACGCUCCUGUACAGAGCAGAGAUGGAACCUCCAGGGCUCUACAGUCAUCUGCUAAGGACACCUAAUAUACCAACAUGCCUCUUUGCUUUCCCUGCUUCAUGUCUAAUUACUUUGCACGCUGGAGGGAAGGGUGGAAAGUAACAUCAUACAGUGUCUCAUCUAAGUGACAAGCCCUGCAUAUGCAGGAUUAGGAGAGCAGAUUACUGAUAGCACAGAGGUGAGGAAAGGUGCAAACGACACAACAAAGCCCGAGGAUCACCAGUGUAUUACUCAUUUGCAGAACAGCUGCUUGCAUCUGGUCUGCUCAGACACACUGUUUCCUGCUAAACAUAGCUGUGCGUCACACAAACCAGCUUUCAGUCUCUUCCUCCUGCCUUCAGGAUGUCAUCUGUGUUGUCUUAUUUUUUUUAAAAUCUCUCUCCAGCAUCUGUUGACUUAUUGCUGUCACUUCCUGUCAUGAUUUAACCCGACCAGCAGCGAAAACAACCGCACAGGCGUUUGCUUACUGCCCCCCUUCCAGUGGGAUGGGGAGAGAAUUGAAAAUGAAAAAAAAGAGAGACUCAUGGGUUGAGAUUAAGGCAGUUUAAUAGGACAGAAAAGGAAGAUAACAACAACAAAACCAACAACAAUAAUAUACAAAACAAGUGAUGAACAGGACAAUUUCUCACCACCUGACGUCGAUGCUCAGCAAGACCCCAAGCUGUCCUGCUCUCCUCCUCACCCCUAGUUAUAUACAGAGCAUGAUGUCAUAUGGUACGGAAUAUUCCUUUGGCCAGUGUGGGUCAGCUGUCCUGGCUGCGCUCUCCCAGCUUCUUGGGCACCCCACUCCCCCACCUUCUCAUUGGCAGGGCAGUGUAAGACGCUGAAAAGUCCUCGACUGCUUGGCAACAGCUAAAAUAUCAGUGUGUUAUCAGCAUUAUUCUCAUCCUAAAUCCAAACCACAGCACUGUACCAGCUGCUGGGAAGAAAAUUAACACUCUCUCUGCUGAAACCAGGACACUCCCACAACCCUGAUGCCACAUGCAGCCCGAUACAGCAAUCCCUGGGGUUUACUCGGGGGGGGGAAAACCUGCUCCGCAGGUUCCCUGUGCUGCUUCGCCUCCCCGGGGAACGGCGUAGGGGCACGGACAGAAACCUUUAACGCGGACAGAUGCGAAGGCCUCAAGUGUUCGAGCCACCCGGGCGCAUUUUGGUACCGAGCAAUGACGAUGACUGCCGGGGCUGCGAGAGGGAAAGGGCAGAGACAUUCAAGCCCCGUACCCCCCAGCAGGCAGCGACCGCCUUUGGAUGGUACAAACCAGGCUGAGGCACUCGUCACCGCUCGUCCUACGAGCUCCGGAACGUUAAGGCGAUCAUGCGCCGGUACUGCAGCUCGGGAGCAGCGCACGCGCGAUGGCGCCGCUGUGCUCCACGGCAACGGCAACGCGACACUGCGGCGCGUGCGGGCGGCGUCGCUGCGCUUGCUGCUGCUUCCCGGUACGGACGCGCCGGUGCCGCCCCGGUUCACGCCGCCGUCCUCCGGGUGCUCGUGCUGCUGCUGCCGCCGCCUCGUGGCCGAAGUGCGGUACUGCAGCCCGGCGGUCGCGUGCCGGCUCCGGCCUCUCCGGCGCGCCGUCGGCGUCCGGCGCAUGCGCGGUGCGCGGCAGCAGCAUGGCGGCACGCUGGACGCCGGUCCCGGCGGCGGGUGAGGGCCGGGCUCAGCGGUGAGGUGAGCGAGCCCUGGCGGCGGGUGCAGGCUGUCUCGUGCCCGCUGGCAGCCCGGGGGUGGCGGGACGGGAAGGUUCUAGCCGCCCGCUGCAGCAGGCUGCCGCUCCUCUGGAGGCGAGAGCCGGCUCAGGGCAGCCCCAGAGAGUGUCCCGGGAGCUGACGGGGGGAAGGGGGACAAGAAGGCGGACAGCCUGCCAGGCGCAGGCGCUGGGUGCCUCCCGGACUCGCCGGAGCUCCCCCUGAGCCUCCCCCGGCCCCGCUCAGCUUGUGCAGCAGCCCCCGGUUCCAGCAGCUCUCCUGAAGCCUGUCCGGCAGCCCCAGGCCGCCCCCAAGCCCUGGUGUGAAGGCGGCAAGCUGGCCCUCGAUGUGUCUCCAGAGGCCCCUGUGGAAGGAGGGGCUCUGGCCAGGGGCGAUCCAUGGUGAUAACGGUCGCUGCUGCUUCUUUCCCUCUCCCAGAGGCUGUGCUGAGGACGUGGUCAUCCAUUCCUCCCCUGGGGAUGCUGUUGACUGCACCUGCCUCAGGUUUGUGUGGGUUGUCUCUGCCCGGCCUUGCUCUCCUUGCAGCGCAGAGGUGACAAGGGACAGGUGGAGCACUUACUGGCUGUGGACGGCAGGCAGGAGCUGCUGCAGCUGAAGCCGGAGGGGCCAGAGAAAGGUAAAGAAGAAGAAAUGGAAGGCCAUCCUGCUGGCAGCUGCCUCCCACUGCAGGCUACCUGCCUUGCCAGGUAGGAACUAAAAGGAACUAAAAACAUCAGUGUGUUAUCAACAUUAUUCUCAUCCUAAAUUCAAAACAUAGCACUGUACCAGCUGCUGGGAAGAAAAUGAACUCUCCCUGCUGAAACCAGGACAAAGAGGAAGGGAGGAGAGAAGGAAGAAGAAGCAUCUGAACUGGCAAAUUUUCCUGGCAUUGCCAAGAGUGAGAGCUGCAAGGCAGCACUGAGGACUCAGUUGUCGGUUCCUCUCCGGGGGUGUUGUUGGCUGCAUCUGUCUGCUCAGGUUUGUGUGGGUUGCCUUUGGCCUCCUUCUCCUAGCGGCAUGGGCGAAAAGGGACAGCUGGACACUUAGUGGCUGCAGACAGGAGCUGCUGUGGCUGAAGCUGGAGAGGCCAGAAAAAGGUAGAGCAGCUCAAGGAUCACAGGAGGAUCACAGGGGGAUCCAUCCAGCAGCUUCCUCCAGCUGCAGACAGGAGACAGCCUGCCUCUCUGGGUGAGGAAGGAUCCGUCUUCAUGUAGCCCUCAGCAGAUCCAAUCACCAACGUGCGUGGCAGGUGGAUGACAGCGACCGGAGCUAUGGAAGAGGAAGGGAGCGGGGGAGAGAGAGACAGAGACUAGUCCAAACUCUCAAAUUCUCCCAGCAGCUCUGAGAGCUGGAGCUGUGCUGAUCUCUGUUCUGUGAGAAGACACCAGGAGUUGCUCCCACGUUGGGCACAGCCAGUUCCAGGAUGGAUCUGCUGCUGGUCAAAGCUGAGACCAUCAGCAACGCUGGUGGUGCCUCUGUGAGGACGUACCUAAGAAGGGCUAAAAAAUGCUGCACAGAAGCUGUGACAGAGAAAAAUGUGAGUGUGAAACAGCCCUGCAGACACCCGGGUCAGUGCAGAAGGAGGGGGAGGAGGUGCUCCAGGCGCCGGAGCAGAGAUCCCCCUGUAGCCCGUGGUGAAGACCAUGGUGAAGCAGGCUGUCCCCCUGCAGCCCAUGGAGGAAGGAUGAGGGGGUGUAGAGAUUCCACCUGCAGCCCGUGGAGGACCCCACGCCAGAGCAGGUGGAGACACCUGAAGGAGACAGUGACCCUGUGGGAAGCCGCACUGGAGCAGGCUCCUGGCAGGACCUGUGGCCCCAUGGAGAGAGGAGCCCAGGCUGGAGCAGGUUUGCUGGCAGGACUUGUGACCCCAUGGGGGACCCACGCUGAAGCAGAAGAGCGUGAGGAGGAGGGAGCAGCAGAGACAACGUGUGAUGAACUGAGCGCAGCCCCUGCUCCCUGUCCUCCUGCCCUGCUUGGGGAGAGGAGGGAGAGAAGUCAGGAGUGAAGAUGCCCCAGAGGGAGGUGGGAUGAGAUUUGCUGCUGUUCUGCAGGGAAGCCCAGCACAAAGACAACCUGUCGAGGCUUCAGGAUUAAACACUUUACUGGGCUUUUUCUGCCUUCUGCAGACCUCUUGGCUGUUAACGUGCCAAAGUUCCCAGCCCCCUGGGUUUCCAGACAACUUAUUUUGGCUUGGACUAGAGUCUCAGUUAACACCUGCACAGCCAAACCCUCAUAGACCUGGGCAGGCUCCUGUAGCCCAUCACUUUUUAUUUUCUUUUCUGAAUCUUCCUCGACGUAGCUUCCUUUAACAAUUUUUUUUCAUUUCCUGCCUCUCUGUCCUGUUCCCUUUCUAUUUCUCUCUCUAUCCGUCUUAUGUUCUCUAAUUUAUAAUCCCUUCCUGUGUUUGUCGCUUUUUGAUUUCUCUUUCCGUGACUACCUCCAGUGCCCACGCUGGAGCAGGUGGAUGCCCCCAAAGGAGGCUGUGGCCCUGUGGGAAGCCUGCACUGGAGCAGUGUGUUCCUGAAGGGCUGCACCCCGUGGAAGGGACUCGCGCUGGAGAAGUUUGUGGAGGACUGUGUCCCAUGGGAGGGACCCCACGCUGGAGGAGGAGAAUAGUGAGAGGAAGGAGGAGCAGCAGAGACAGUGUGUGAUGAACUGACCACAACCCCCAUUCCCCAUCCUCCUGUGCCACUCGGCUGGUGGAGGUAGAGAAAUCAGGAAUGAAGUCAAGCCUGGGAAGAAAGGAGGGGUGAGGGGAAGGUGUUUUAAGAUUUGGAUUUAUUUCUCAUUACCCUACUCUGAUGGCUUUGGCAAUAAAUUCAACUAGUUUCCCCAAA